CAGGUUGAUAGGUCAGAGGUGGAAGCGUGGCGACAUGUGGAGCUGACUGAUACUAAUCGAUCGAGGACUUAACCAAG
rnacentral:rRNA from 1 species